GACAGAGGGUGCAACCGUUGCUCGGAAUCACUGGGCGUAAAGGGCGUGUAGGCGGGCAGGAAAGUCAGAUGUGAAAUCCCUGGGCUCAACCCAGGAACUGCAUUUGAAACUCCCUUUCUUGAGUGUCGGAGAGGAAAGCGGAAUUCCUGGUGUAGAGGUGAAAUUCGUAGAUAUCAGGAGGAACACCGGUGGCGAAGGCGGGUCUCUGGGCAACAACUGACGCUGAGGAGCGAAAGCGUGGGGAGCGCACAGG
rnacentral:rRNA from 1 species